GUGCAUUGUAGUUGCAUUGC
rnacentral:ncRNA from 11 species